AGGUGUUGAUGUUUAGACCUGGCAACCUACCAAGGGGGUACCCGAGGUAGUAUUUUAUGCGUGCGGCUCGCCGAGAUCAGGAACUCAAUGGUGAACUCAAACACAUGAUUUAGAUAGGUUCAGGCCACUUAUGUCGCGUAAUACCUUACAUCCUGUGUGUUGGUUGUGUUGUAUUGAUUGAACUUGUUUGGAGGGGGUCCCUGUGUCACCUUAUAUUGCCUAGGGUUACAGGUCAGUUGUUUUACAAGAAUACUAGUCAGAUUCGACAAGGGAGUUCUACUCUAAUUGAUAUGAGUAGUUUCCUAAUCCUUGACUAGUUCUUGUCCUCUUCAUGUCUGACACGCCUUGGU
rnacentral:lncRNA from 1 species